rnacentral:lncRNA from 1 species
CUAAACGCCAGGAACUGCCAGUGUCGCUGAGAGGGAGUGACGGGGGGAUGUUAAUUAUAACAGAGAGAGUCACUAUUUAUUUUUUGUAGUAGUGUCAUAUGAAUGUAUCUUGGUUUUCAAAAUGGUUGCCUUUUUAUAUUAUUUAUGCCUUGAAACCCCUUUUUUUUUUUUUGUUAUUUUUUUUUUUUCUCCCCUCACACGCCGCGAAACUAGCCCUGGUUAUGUGUAUAAAAAAGAAUUGUAAUAAUAUAAAGAAGGAGGAUGGGAAAUGUGGAGUGUGUUUCCGUGGCAUGUUACCAGUGUGAGAAGCACUUCCGAGGAGCCCGGGACAGGGAUUUAAGCAGGUCUGAUGUGGUGACCAAUGGCUGCCACCUCCCUGGCACUCAAACCAUCCUUUCCAUGAACACAUCCCAUCCUCUUUUGGUUUCUCUGGGAAGAUCUCAAUGAGAAAAUGAGAAAAUAAAUAAGAAAAAUGAGCCUCAGCUGAGUCCGUCCAGCGCAGCUUGAAGCAGAGCUUGGGUCGGUGACUGUGUCUUCAGAUGCUUGAUAACCCUUCUGUCUGCAGAAGUACAGGUGGAAAUCCAGCCUGUCUCACCUUGCCCCUCGCAGAAGACAAAAUCCAGUCCUACUCUUGGUUUGAGGGAGUACUGACAGCUUGGAUAGCUCUGAAAUGAAAGCAGUGGUGUCGGAGCAGCUCCCACCGGCCCCGCGCGUGGCUGUCAGGAACCCACCCGCCCCGGACACAGCACGAUGGAGGUGUUGCAACCUUAACUGCAGGGUUUGGGGUUUUGGAUCCUCCCAGCCGGAGCUGCCUUAUUCUGAAGUUCCCUGCAAACCCUGGACCUUACACCCAUGGGUUUUGACUGGCAUGUACCCUGGAGCCACCACAGAGCCCCCUCCUCCCCCUUUGUUUAUCUCCUCCUUGCAGUCUGGACUUUCCCUUCACAGGACCUGCUGUGAGGCUUUCCCCUUUUCCGAUGGAGAGGUUGGAGUUCACCUCUGGCUGCUUCGUCCUCCCCGAACACUGAGAUUUAACCACGGUUUUAAACGACCUUGCUUAAAUCCCCCCCCUGUAUCGUGGGUGUGUUGGAUAAAGACACUCUGUUUUCCAGAGAAUCUGUAAUAUCCCUUUGAAAUCUUAUGUAUUUGGAAACGAUGCUGUUUUGCAGGGGUUUGGGGUGGGGUGUGUAUUUUUGGGGGUGAUGCUGCUCUUUGGCCAGCAUGGGGGUUGAUGCUCUGUGGGCACUGAUUUGAGAUGUCACUCGAUACUUCCCAAUGGAUAAUUAACCAAAUAUAGGACAAAUGGCCCAACAUGCUCUUGUUUCUACAGACACCAAAAGAUGAGGGGGUUGAGGAAGGCUGGGAAGUGCCUGACACUUUCCUUAGACCCUGCCUCCCUCCAUGCUUUCAUGUGGGGAAAAACCAUCACCAGUCACUGUUUUUGUCCUCUUGUGGUUUGGC